GACGAACGCUGGCGGCGCGCCUAACACAUGCAAGUCGAACGAGCGAGAGAGAGCUUGCUUUCUCGAGCGAGUGGCGAACGGGUGAGUAACGCGUGAGGAACCUGCCUCAAAGAGGGGGACAACAGUUGGAAACGACUGCUAAUACCGCAUAAGCCCACGGCUCGGCAUCGAGCAGGGGGAAAAGGAGCAAUCCGCUUUGAGAUGGCCUCGCGUCCGAUUAGCUAGUUGGUGAGGUAACGGCCCACCAAGGCGACGAUCGGUAGCCGGACUGAGAGGUUGAACGGCCACAUUGGGACUGAGACACGGCCCAGACUCCUACGGGAGGCAGCAGUGGGGAAUAUUGCACAAUGGGGGAAAACCUGAUGCAGCGACGCCGCGUGGAGGAAGAAGGUCUUCGGAUUGUAAACUCCUGUUGUUGGGGAAGAUAAUGACGGUACCCAACAAGGAAGUGACGGCUAACUACGUG
rnacentral:rRNA from 1 species